CCUACGACGUGGAGGUCGGCUAUCACCA
rnacentral:sRNA from 1 species